AGUGAACGCUGGCGGUAUGCCUAACACAUGCAAGUCGAACGGCAGCACAGUAAGAGCUUGCUCUUACGGGUGGCGAGUGGCGGACGGGUGAGGAAUACAUCGGACUCUACUUUUUCGUGGGGGAUAACGUAGGGAAACUUACGCUAAUACCGCAUACGACCUACGGGUGAAAGCAGGGGAUCUUCGGACCUUGCGCGAUUGAAUGAGCCGAUGUCGGAUUAGCUAGUUGGCGGGGUAAAGGCCCACCAAGGCGACGAUCCGUAGCUGGUCUGAGAGGAUGAUAAGCCACACUGGAACUGAGACACGGUCCAGACUCCUACGGGAGGCAGCAGUGGGGAAUAUUGGACAAUGGGCGCAAGCCUGAUCCAGCCAUACCGCGUGGGUGAAGAAGGCCUUCGGGUUGUAAAGCCCUUUUGUGGGGAAAGAAAAGCAGCAGGUUAAUACCCCGCUGUUCUGACGGUACCCAAAGAAUAAGCACCGGCUAACUUCGUG
rnacentral:rRNA from 1 species